rnacentral:tRNA from 1 species
GCCGGUGUGAUGGAACUGGCAGACGUGCGGGACUCAAAAUCCUGUUCCCGCGAGGGAGUGCGGGUUCGACUCCCGCCACCGGCACCA